CCUACGGGAGGCAGCAGUAGGGAAUCUUUCACAAUGGGCGAAAGCCUGAUGGAGCAACGCCGCGUGCAGGAUGAAGGCCUUCGGGUUGUAAACUGCUUUUAUAAGCGAGAAAUAUGAUGGUAACUUAUGAAUAAGGAUCGGCUAACUACGUACCAGCAGCCGCGGUCAUACGUAGGGUCCGAGCAUUAUCCGGAGUGACUGGGUGUAAAGAGUUGCGUAGGUGGCAUAAUAAGUAGCUAGUGAAAUCUGGUGGCUCAACCAUUCAGACUAUUAGCUAAACUGUUAAGCUCGAGACCGUUAGGGGUAAGUGGAAUUUCUAGUGUAGGAGUGAAAUGCGUAGAUAUGAGAAGGAACACCAAUAGCGUAGGCAGGUUACUGGGACGGUUCUGACACUAAGGCACGAAAGCGUAGGGAGCAAACGGGAUUAGAUACCCGAGUAGUC
rnacentral:rRNA from 1 species